UACAGAGGGGGCAAGCGUUAUUCGGAAUUAUUGGGCGUAAAGGGCGCGUAGGCGGCUUCGCAAGUGGAAGGUGAAAUCCCUCGGCUUAACCGAGGAACUGCCCUCCAAACUGCUUGGCUUGAGUCCGGGAGAGGUGAGUGGAAUUCCCAGUGUAGCGGUGAAAUGCGUAGAUAUCGAGAGGAACACCUGCGGCGAAGGCGGGUUGCUGGGCUGACACUGACGCUGACAGCGCGAAAGCUAGGGGAGCGAACGGG
rnacentral:rRNA from 1 species